rnacentral:rRNA from 1 species
CACUGCCGAGAAAAGCCUCUAGAUAGAAAAUAGGUGCCCGUACCGCAAACCGACACAGGUAGUCAAGAUGAGAAUUCUAAGGUGAGCGAGCGAACUCUCGUUAAGGAACUCGGCAAAAUGACCCCGUAACUUCGGGAGAAGGGGUGCUCUUUAGGGUUAACGCCCAGAAGAGCCGCAGUGAAUAGGCCCAAGCGACUGUUUAUCAAAAACACAGGUCUCUGCUAAACCGUAAGGUGAUGUAUAGGGGCUGACGCCUGCCCGGUGCUGGAAGGUUAAGAGGAGUGGUUAGCUUCUGCGAAGCUACGAAUCGAAGCCCCAGUAAACGGCGGCCGUAACUAUAACGGUCCUAAGGUAGCGAAAUUCCUUGUCGGGUAAGUUCCGACCCGCACGAAAGGCGUAACGAUUUGGGCACUGUCUCAACGAGAGACUCGGUGAAAUCAUAGUACCUGUGAAGAUGCAGGUUACCCGCGACAGGACGGAAAGACCCCGUGGAGCUUUACUGUAGCCUGAUAUUGAAAUUCGGCACAGCUUGUACAGGAUAGGUAGGAGCCUUUGAAACGUGAGCGCUAGCUUACGUGGAGGCGCUGGUGGGAUACUACCCUAGCUGUGUUGGCUUUCUAACCCGCACCACUUAUCGUGGUGGGAGACAGUGUCAGGCGGGCAGUUUGACUGGGGCGGUCGCCUCCUAAAAGGUAACGGAGGCGCUCAAAGGUUCCCUCAGAAUGGUUGGAAAUCAUUCAUAGAGUGUAAAGGCAUAAGGGAGCUUGACUGCGAGACCUACAAGUCGAGCAGGGUCGAAAGACGGACUUAGUGAUCCGGUGGUUCCGCAUGGAAGGGCCAUCGCUCAACGGAUAAAAGCUACCCCGGGGAUAACAGGCUUAUCUCCCCCAAGAGUUCACAUCGACGGGGAGGUUUGGCACCUCGAUGUCGGCUCAUCGCAUCCUGGGGCUGUAGUCGGUCCCAAGGGUUGGGCUGUUCGCCCAUUAAAGCGGUACGCGAGCUGGGUUCAG